rnacentral:rRNA from 1 species
UACGUAGGGGGCAAGCGUUGUCCGGAUUCAUUGGGCGUAAAGCGCGUGUAGGCGGUCCGGUAAGUCCGCUGUGAAAGUCGGGGGCUCAACCCUCGGAUGCCGGUGGAUACUGUCGGGCUUGAGUACGGAAGAGGCGAGUGGAAUUCCUGGUGUAGCGGUGAAAUGCGCAGAUAUCAGGAGGAACACCAAUUGCGAAGGCAGCUCGCUGGGACGUUACUGACGCUGAGACGCGAAAGCGUGGGGAGCGAACAGG